rnacentral:rRNA from 1 species
GACAAACGCUGGCGGCGUGCCUAACACAUGCAAGUCGAACGGAGAAUAUGGAAGAGUUUACUCUGAAAUAUUUUUAGUGGCGGACGGGUGAGUAACGCGUGGGUAACCUACCCAUAAAGCCGGGACAACCCUUGGAAACGAGGGCUAAUACCGGAUAAUCUUGAGGAAUGGCAUCAUACUUCAAGGAAAGGUGGCCUCUUUAUAUGCUACCGCUUAUGGAUGGACCCGCGUCUGAUUAGCUAGUUGGUGGGGUAAAGGCCUACCAAGGCGACGAUCAGUAGCCGGCCUGAGAGGGUGAACCGCCAAACUGGGACCGAGACACGGCCCAGACUCCUACGGGGGGCAGCAGUGGGGAAUCUUCCGCAAUGGACGAAAGUCUGACGGAGCAACGCCGCGUGUAUGAAGAAGGUUUUCGGAUUGUAAAGUACUGUCUUUGGGGAAGAAUGACUGGUCUAAAAAUACUGGGUCAGUAUGACGGUACCCAAGGAGGAAGCCCCGGCUAACUACGUGCCAGCAGCCGCAGUAACAC